GAUGAAGAACGCAGCGAAAUGCGAUAAGUAAUGUGAAUUGCAGAAUUCAGUGAAUCAUCAAAUCUUUGAACGCACAUUGCGUCCGCUAGUAUUCUGGCGGGCAUGCCUGUUCGAGCGUCAUUUCAACCAUCAAGCCCUGUUUAGGCUUGUGUUGGGGCCCUGCGGCUGCCGCAGCCCCCUAAAUGCAGUGGCGGGCUCGUUGUCACUCCGAGCGCAGUAGCGUAUCUCGCUCUGGGCGUGGCGGCGGGUGCUAGCCGUGAAACACCCACUAAGGUUGACCUCGGAUCAGGUAGGAAUACCCGCUGAACUUAAGCAUAUCAAUAAGCGGAGGA
rnacentral:misc_RNA from 1 species